UUAAUUAAAAAAUAAUAAAAUAAUAAUAAAUAGCUACAAACUCUCGACCACACCUCCCUCACCCCCAAAUCCUACAGCUCAGCUCCGCAGCACGAACUGCACUAUACUUUCCACUCUUCCAAAAUUACCCCUCACAAACUCCCUUAUUCACUACCAAACCACUCAUCUAUCAGAAAGUCAACAAUGGCAGUCUUGGGAAUCCACGUCUAACAUAACUGCUUCUUAGGAAUUUUCAACUACCCUCUACUUAAUCAAAAAAUCAAAACAAAGUUUGAAUUAAAAGAGAAAGCAGAAGAAAAAUCACAAGGAUCGGUGCGUCGAAUUACGAUGGAUGCCCCUGUCGAAGGAGGAUACGAAAGAGCAAGACGAUCGAAGAUAACCCGAGUUCUUGAAUUCGCAGCAAUUUUAGCUAUAUGGAUAUUGUUGCUAUAUCAAAUUAACAACCCCCGCCACGUUAAGUAUUGUUCGUUGAUCGGGCGCAAGGCGAAUAUGGGACGAAAUUUUAGUCUUGAUCAAGGAAGUAUUGGAGUUCAGCUCGACGGAAUCGGCUGGUUAGUUAGUUUUGACGACGAGAACGGCGUUCCACCUGGCGUUUUAUGAUGUACGAGAUAGUCGAAUUGUGUCGUGUGAUUGAAAUGUUCGCUAUAAGUGAGAAAAUUCUAAGUGAAUUUAUAUUCUAUAUCGGGUUCGUGUA